rnacentral:misc_RNA from 1 species
AAUCAGCAUAUCUAUAGCACAGAUGCCAGAAGUAAAUGGUAUGUUGUAGUGAAAGUUCAUACAUACAGAUAACUGGUUAUCGAAAUGCAGUUUGGCAAGCGAAUAGAGCUUCCGCUAAAAGAUGUGAAGCGAGAUGAGCAACAUGUGUUAAGGUGUAGCUUUCCUGACACUUGUAAUAAGAGCAACGCCAGUAUCAUAAGCUAGCCUCUGAGGGAAUAA